UACGGAGGGUGCGAGCGUUGUCCGGAAUCAUUGGGCGUAAAGGGCGCGUAGGUGGCCCGGUGAGUCUUUGGUGAAAGCGCGGGGCUCAACCCUGCGUCGGCCAGGGAUACUGCCGCGGCUCGAGCACUGUAGAGGCAGGCGGAAUUCCGGGUGUAGCGGUGGAAUGCGUAGAGAUCCGGAAGAACACCGGUGGCGAAGGCGGCCUGCUGGGCAGUGGCUGACGCUGAGGCGCGAAAGCGUGGGGAGCGAUCCGG
rnacentral:rRNA from 1 species